rnacentral:lncRNA from 1 species
AUUUGCAGCUAAUUGAAUGACUGAUGAGUCGUUUGAGUGAGUUGUUUGUGAUCUAUUACUCCAGCUUACAUUGUCAAAACUUUACCUUUUUCAGCAUUCUAAUUAGAGGUGAGCCAUUUCCUUCUCCCUCAUUUACUAUAUUUAUUUUUAUGUGUAUGAGUGUUUUGCUUGCAUGUGUAAGUGCACCACAUGUGUGCAGUGCCCGAGGAAGAAAAGGCUGUUGGAUGCCUUGGAACUGGAGUUAGCGAUGGCCACUGUGUGGGCACUGAAAACCAAACCCAGGUCCUCUGCAAGAGCAGCAUGUGUUCUAAACCACUGAGCCCCCCACCCACACCCCCCAAAGAGUCAAUAAAGUCUCACAUUUCUUCUUUGUGAAAGUGUUGAAGGACGAUUCUGCAUUACUCUCCAAAAUAGAAAUUUUACUCAGACUGGAUUCUGCAAAAGUUUACUUCAUCUGAGAAAUUAAUUUGCCUUUCUCUUAAGGCAAUUUAGAUUGAGUAUUCUUCAUUUUUGUUUUAGUUGUAAGAAGUUUCAGUUAAAAUUGGCUUUUUUCUAAAAAGAUUUAUUUACUUUAUGAGUUGCUGUCUUCAGACACACAGACUUCAGACACAGGGCAUCAGAUCCCAUUGCAGGUGGCGGUGAGCCGCCAUAUGGUUGCUGAGGAUUGAACUCAGGACCUCUGGAAAAGCAGCCAGUGCUCUUACACACUGAGUCAUCUCUCCAGCCCCCAAAUUGACUGUUUUUAAUAAUUUACGUAGAACUAGAUGGCUGUCCUUAUUCUAACUUAUUUCAUAUAUAUAAUGAUUUUGACUAUGGAUUUUUUUUUUUUUUUGUUCUUAUAAACUGCCUCAAUUCUCUUGGGUGAAUAAGACUUAAAAUUACUACUUAAAAACAUUUUUAUCUUAUGUGUUUUGCGUGUGUGUAUAUCUGGGAAUCUUGUGUGUGUCUGGUGCCUGUGGAGGUCAGAACUGAACCCAGUUACCGAGGGUUGUGAACCAUCAUGUGGAUGCUGGCAGCUGAACCCAGCCAGGUCUCUUCGAGAGCAGCAAUCCCUCUCCGUCACUGAGCCAUCUUUUCUGCCCCUUAAUACUCAUACGUUUUUAAAAAAUGGUUUUAUUUCUAUGUGUGAGGAUAAGCCAAAGGUAAGUUUAGGGCAAGGAUGCAGUACCGCUGCCGCCUUCCCUGAGUUAGGAGGAGCCUAGGCCCUAAGGUUGAAUCCUAGUUUUCAUCUGAUGACUCAGAAGAAAGCUCCCAUCUGCUCACCGCUUCUCUGUAGAGUUUCAUCGAAAAAUCCAGAACUAAACUGAAGACCAAGGCCUAAUCCUUUAGGCUUCUCGUGUGUGCUGCUUUUGCCUUACAGUUAGAGCAACAGUGGAAGAGAUCCGGCUUACUUGCUGGUGGGGGAGGGAAGCGAAAGCGGGGAGAACUGCACCCCAAGAAACUAGCUAUCGAGCAGAGAAGCCAAGGCAGAACAAAUGGAAGCGUGUCUUCACGUGGAGCAGCUUGAGUGUGCAGAGUCACAGCACAGGCCCAAGAGAGGCCGAGACACAAAAUGUAGAGGCCCAUGUGUCUGGCUCAGAAGAAGAUAGCUGCCGGGCACUUUCCCUUUUCUUUGUGAGACAGGGUCUUUCUGUGUUGCUCUCCUUGGUUUGUAGACAAGGCAGGGGUUGACUUCACAGAUAGACACAUGCCUCUGCUUCCUAGUGGCUGGCACUAAGGUCAUGCACCACCACAUCCAGCCACACUUUCAGGUUUUAUUUUGGAUUUUCUUUGGCAACAGGGUCUUAUUACAUCACCCAGGCUGGCCAGACCUUGGAAUCCUCCAAUUUCAGCUUUCCCAGUGCUAAUAGAGGUGUGCACACCCAUAGCUACCUGAAGAUCAGUUUCUCUUUAUGAAAACACUGCUAUGUCUACAUAGAAUAUUGGGCAGGGGGCAGGGGACAGGAGACGACGGACACCUGUAAUUGCAGCCCCUGAGACACGGGUAAGAGCAUUUGCCUAAAAGAUGACUUCUUUAUUUUUUAAAUGAAGUCAAAUGUAGAAAUUGGAAGGAAAUACUGGACAGGACUGUAUACAUAUCUGAGUGGCAGGGAUGGAUGGGAAAAUGAGAAGAGAGAGCACCACCAUUUUAAAUGUUUGUUUGUUUGUGUGUGUGUGUUUGUGUGUUUAGUGUGUGUGUGUCUGUGAGUCUAUCUAUGCAUGUGAAGUCCUGAGGACGGCAUGGGAUCCCCUGGAGUGGAAGUUACAGGUGGUUGUGAGCUUCCCAGGAUAGGUACCAGGAGCAUAGCUCUGGUCUUCCGCAAGAGCAGUAUGCACUCAAACCUCUUCUAGCCCAGGACCUUCUAAAAUAGAGAUUCUUAAUAUUUGAUUUAAAUCCAGAAUCAGUUUUCUACCUCAUACAAAUCUUUUGUCCAACUUU